rnacentral:rRNA from 1 species
UACGGGGGAUGCAAGCGUUAUCCGGAAUCAUUGGGCGUAAAGCGCCUGUAGGUUGUUUAAUAAGUCUGUUGUUAAAAACUGGGGCUCAACCCUAGGAAAGCAAUGGAAACUACUAGACUAGAGUAUGGCAGGGGUAGAGGGAAUUUCUAGUGUAGCGGUGAAAUGCGUAGAUAUUAGAAAGAACACCGGUGGCGAAAGCGCUCUACUGGACCAUUACUGACACUCAGAGGCGAAAGCUAGGGUAGCAAAUGGGAUUAGAUACCCCAGUAGUCCUAGCAGUAAACGAUGGAUACUAGAUGUUGCCCGUUCACCGCAGUGUCAAAGCUAACGCGUUAAGUAUCCCGCCUGGGAAGUAUGCUCGCAAGAGUG